AGGGGUCCACUGCACUUGUAAGGAAGAAAAAGAUGGAGAGGUUCCAUGGGUUCUGCAUCUGUAUACAGUUGAAAGAUUAUCAUCAUUUGGAGAGCUGGCACUAAUGAAUAACAAACCACUCCAGGCCUCUGUCCGUGCUGUGACAAGUGGAACUCUUUGGGCUUUAAAAAUGGAAGAUUUUCGAGGAAUUCUUACGUCAUAAUUUUCAAAUUUAUCAUCAUUGAAGUUGCUUCGAUCAGUAGAUCUGCUCUCGAGAUUGACAAUCUUACAGCUGAGUCACAUUGCAGAAUCUCUUUCUGAAGUUUCCUUUUCUGAUGGGCAGAUAAUAGCUGAUAGGGUAAAUAUUCUAUUUCGAAUUAAAUGUCUUAUUUUUUUUUUUAAUCUUCCUUCCCUUACAUUUUGUCGUGUAUGAAGGAUGAGGCUUUCUUGGGAUUGUACAUUACCGAGAAGGGACAAGUUAGAAUUACUGUUGAUUACAUUACAGAGAAGUAAUUUGAUUCUGACAAUACAAUUGCAGCAAAUAAAAGCUCUUCUUGAGAGUGUUGGGACUUCUUUCUGCCCUGAUUAUUUAGACUGGUUUGGAAAUGGUGCAACUGAUUCACAUUCCAGAAAUGCUGAUCAAUCUGUUCUUUCAAAAUUUUUACAAGCACAUCCUGCUG